ACUAAAGUGUGUCCAUGUGAUUGCGUGUUUGUUGGUUCAACUAAUCAGCAAUGAAUGACUGGACUUCAGAAUCUGUAGCUAAAACAAACAACCAAUCAAUACAUGGCAGAAUUUAGCAGCUGAUAAAUAGUAGGGAAAAGGCUGCACUGCCACAGUGAGGCUGUACAGUCAAAGAUUUAUUUUAGAAAAGUUUGUUCUCUGACAUGAGGUGUGAAGAGGGUGGGGGGUGGUAAAAAAAUAUUUUCUGUCAGGCCAGUGUUGUUGUCUUAUAGGCUUUAUGAUAUAUGGUUGCACAGCCAGCUUGAGCGUAAUCCAGCACUAUGUAAUGUGUUAAUACAGCUAUGAGGUCUUGUUCACAGCAGAAACAUACUGAUGAGGGGUGAACUCUGCCCCCUUGUGUUCAUAUUAGACUACAGGCCUGAUUUACACAAGACACAACUCAGCACUACCUCCUGCAGUAUACAGCAGAUGGAGGGUUCUCAGUACAAACUGAGUCACACACACACACACACACACACUGGCAGUGGUUUCUACCUGUCCUCACUACAUGAAGCGCAAGAGGGGAAACCCCGUCAUUGUCGCACUGGAGCUACAACAUGUUGCUUCUGAGAGCAACUUCACCAUGACGGCCACUAGUUUCAGGAAUGACUCAUGUAAGCAGACGUCCACAGAUUAUGCUUUGACCAACACUCCAGGACGAUUCUUCCACCAUAUUGCCAGAAUGUUUCUCAGCUUCUUUCAACUCUGCGUCCUUUUCUUGGUUGUUGUAAAUCUAAUUGUGCAUUCUGUCCACACAUUUCACACCACAUUAACAAGGAUUUUUUUUUUUUAAUGUUAAACUAAAAUGCCACAGACUUGGUACAUCUGUCUGUGUAUACAGUCAUGAAUUAAAACUUUUUUUUACUUAAGUAAAAGUACUACAGCACAAACAUCAAAAUACACUUAAUGGACCAAAAGUAAAAGUACUCAUUAUGCAGAAUGGCCGAUUUCAGAGUCAUGCUUAUUAUGUUUUUGGAUUGUAAUUAUUGAUGCAUUAAUAUGCAGAUCUCUUUAAUGUUGAAAGUUGUAGAACAGAGUAAAUUACUCUCCACCAUGGGAAAGUGACUAACAUUUAGAAAACUCAGAAUAAAUUCAACAGAGCUGCCUGAUCAUAAAAAAAGAUUUUAUAUCAAAUUUUUUGUCCAAAGGCCAAAACCA